GAUGAACGCUGGCGGCGUGCUUAACACAUGCAAGUCGAGCGAUGAAACAGAGCUUGCUCUGUGGUGCAGUUGCCAACGGGUGAGUAACUCAUGAGCAACCUGCCCCCGACUCAGGGAUAGGCGCUGUAGAGGGCGCCGAGUACAUGACAGGUGCUGUGUCCACAUGGUCGGCUGAUGAGAAAAUGUUGCGGUCUGGGAUGGGCUUAAGGGCUAUCAGCUUGUUUGUGAGGUAAUGGCUCGCCAAGGCGUAGACGGGUAGCCCGCCUGAGAGGGCGAACGGCCACCAUGGGACUGAGAGAGGGCCCAGAAUCGUACGGGAGGCAGCAGGGGGGAAUAUUGCACAGUGGGCGAAAGCCUGAUGCAGAAGCGCUGCGUGAGGGAUGACGGCCUUCGGGUUGUAAACCUCUUUUAGCAGGGAAGAAGACAACGUGACGGUACCUGCAGAAAAAGCGCCGGCUAACUACGUG
rnacentral:rRNA from 1 species